rnacentral:misc_RNA from 1 species
AUUGAAGAAACUCUGCCUG